rnacentral:rRNA from 1 species
CCUACGGGUGGCAGCAGUGAGGAAUAUUGCUCAAUGGGCGCGAGCCUGAUGCAGCGACGUAGCGUGAAGGAUGACUGCCCUACGGGUUGUAAACUUUUUUUAUAAAGGAAUAAAGUGAGGCACGUGUGCCUUUUUGUAUGUCCUUUAUGAAUACGGAUCGGCUAACUCCGUGCCAGCAGCCGCGGUAAUACGGAGGGUCCGAGCGUUAUCCGGAGUUAUUGGGUUUAAAGGGCGCGUAGAUGGGUUGUGAAGUCAGUUGUGAAAGUUUGCGGCUCAACCGUAAAAUUGCAAUUGAUACUGGAAGGCUUGAGGACAGGUGAGGUAGGCGGAAUGUAUGGUGUAGCGGUGAAAUGCGUAGAGAUCAGGAAGAACACCGAUGGCGAAGGCAGCUUACCAAACUAUAACUGACGUUGAGGCACGAAAGCGUGGGGAGCAAACAGGAUUAGAUACCCCAGUAGUC